CCAAACAAAAUCCCUGACCCCUUCCUUCUUUUGUGAGCCCCCAUCUUGUCCGUCUAGGGUUUCAAUGAGCCAAGAAGCCCUCUUCUCCAACCGCGACGAGAUCACCGAUCUACUCUGCCAUCGCUCUUCGAUCCGCUUUCCAUGUCAAGUCAUCUCGAUUUGGAGUUUUUGGAUGGAGAUGCGAUCCCAUGCAUUUUUUCCUUCCCGUCGCAGCCAUGGAUGAGAAAGAACUGUACAAGGUUUGUGCAAAGAAGAUGAAGACCAAGAAGAGGACUGCGGCGUCGAAGACUUCAAAGAAGCUACUGCGGCCAAGGGAUGCUUCCUGUGUUAUUUCUACCGUAAUUUUUAGUUUGUAAUUUGUAAAUAUGCAAAGAAACAUCAAUAAAGUGGUUCUUCUUAUGUUA